GUUAGACGAGAGUUUCUUUAUGAACUGGGCCAGUUAUACAACAUGCUGCUGAUGUAACGCCAUAAAACAUUAAAGCAACAGGCAGCGUGGUGCGGCGCCUUCUCUUCUUCUUCUUAUUCUUCUUCUUCUUCUUCUUUUGGCUCGCCUUAGACGGGUUUUUCCCCGUUUAUGAUUCUGCAGUUUACUUUCAGCAACUGUGAAUAUUCACACACAGUACACACACACACACACACACACACACACACACAUACUGCACACACACACACACAUACUGUACACACACAAACAAUACACAUACAUACAGUACACAUACACACACACACACAUACUGCACACACACACACACAUACUGUACACACACAAACAAUACACAUACAUACAGUACACACACACACACACACUGUACACAUACAUACAGUACACACACACACACACACACACACACACAUACUGCACACACACACACACACACACAUACAGUACACACACAAACAAUACACACACAUACAAUACACACACAUACAAUACCACACAAACAAUACACACACAUACAAUACACACACAAACAAUACACACACAAACAAUACACACACAUACAAUACACACACAACAAUACACACACAUACAAUACACACACAUACAAUACACACACAAAACAAUACACCACACAUACAAUACACACACAAACAAUACACACACAAACAAUACACACACAUACAAUACACACACAAACAAUACACACACAUACAAUACACACACAUACAAUACACACACACACACCUGACAGCUGCAGAGGGUUGUGUGUGCUGUUGGUCUUGCUACAGUGAGGUGAUGAUGAUUACUACAAGAGUUUUAGCUGUAAAUCUGCAGUAAAUAAACACUGAUAAUAAAUUCAUAACAAUUCACUCUUCUGACCCCUUCUGCGUUUACACCUUCAGUCACUAGUGAGUUUUUAUCCCGUUUAUGUUACAGUAGAUGAGUUUUUAUCCCGUUUAUGUUACAGUAGAUGAGUUUUUAUCCCGUUUAUGUUACAGUAGAUGAGUUUUUAUCCCGUUUAUGUUACAGUAGUUGUGCUUUUGGCCCGUUAUGUUACAGUAAAUGAGUUUUUAUUCCGUUUAUGUUACAGUAGUUGUGCUUUGGCCCGCUUUAUGUUACAGUAGAUGUGUUUUUGGCCCGUUAUGUUACAGUAGAUGAAGUUUUAUCCCGUUUAUCAGUAGUUGUGCUUUUGGCCCGUUUAUGUUACAGUAAAUGAGUUUUUAUCCCGUUUAUGUUACAGUAAUUGUGUUUUUGGCCCGUUUAUGUUACAGUAGAUGAGUUUUUGGCCCGUUUAUGUUACAGUAGAUGAGUUUUUGGUCCGUUUAUGUUACAGUAGAUGAGUUUUUAUCGCGUUUAUGUUACAGUAGAUGAGUUUUAUCCCGUUUAUGUUACAGUAGAUGUGUUUUUGGCCCGUUUAUGUUACAGUAGAUGUGUUUUUGGCCCGUUUAUGUUACAGUAGAUGAGUUUUUGGCCCGUUUAUGUUACAGUAGAUGUGUUUUUGGCCCGUUUAUGUUACAGUAGAUGAGUUUUUGGCCCGUUUAUGUUACAGUAGAUGAGUUUUUUGGUCCGUUUAUGUUACAGUAGAUGAGUUUUUGGCCCGUUUAUGUUACAGUAGAUGUGUUUUUGGCCCGUUUAUGUUACAGUAGAUGAGUUUUUGGUCCGUUUAUGUUACAGUAGAUGAUUUUUUAUCCCGUUUAUGUUACAGUAGAUGAGUUUUUAUCCCGUUUAUGUUACAGUAGAUGAGUUUUUAUCCCGUUUAUGUUACAGUAGAUGAGUUUAUCCCGUUAUGUUACAGUAGAUGUGUUCUUGGCCCGUUUAUGUUACAGUAGAUGUGUUUUUAUCCCGUUUAUGUUACAGUAGAUGUGUUUUAUCCUGUUUAUGUUACAGUAGAUGUGUUCUUGGCCCGUUUAUGUUACAGUAGAUGUGUUUUAUCCUGUUUAUGUUACAGUAGAUGAGUUUUUUAUCCCGUUUAUGUUACAGUAGAUGUGUUUCUUGCCUUGCUCUUUUAUAGUAUAUGUGUCUUUGUCCUGUUUGUGUUUUUCAAUUGUUUGUGUUUAGGGCUGCAACUACCUAUUAUUUUCAUAGUUGAUUGGUUGGCCAAUUAUUUUUGCGAUUAUUCGGAUGGGGGCGGGGCAAACUUACAGUACACUGUUUUUUUGUUUUAUUUAUAAUGAAAUCCUCAAACUGAGUUUUACAAAUAUAAACACACACUAAAACUUUACACAACUCUUUGUCCAAAACAGAAAAGAACCCAACACACACACACACACACACACACACACACACAAACACACACCAGCAUAUAUAUUAUCAAUUUAGGACCGUAGUUUAAUUCUGUGCUUUUUGUUCAUACAUAAAAAAUGAUGCAUAAAUACUUCCAUACAAUACAAACUAAAAUAAAUUAAUAAGUUAUGUUUGUGUGUUUAUAUAUGAAAUUUAUUUGAUUAGUUUAUAUUAGUUUAUAUUGUUUAUAAGUAUUUAUGCGUCAUUUUUUAUGGAUGCAGAAAAAGCACAGGAUUAAACUCCGGUCCUAAAUUGAUAAUAAAAACUCUUUCACUGCACCGUGUGGUUUCUGUUCCUCGCUGUCUUUAUUAAUAUUAUUUUACUUGUUUACUUUUGAUCAGAGUGUUUUAAUUAGACAUUACAGAUCUUACUCGCGCUACACUCCCUAUCAGCGCGUCUACACCGCACGUGAUCAGCAACGUGGCCUCGUCACUAGCACGUCACUUCCCUUAUCAUAAGCGACGGAAGUUACACUGCAAGCGCGCAGAUACGCCAUAUAAUCACCAUAAACUGGAAUUAAACUAACCCUUUUAAGGAACUCGCACCAGUUUCCCCCGCCCCUUACACACAGUGGAGUAUUUUGGAUAUAAACAGUUUUGCGCUCGUGCAGCACUGUUUGAUCUCCGCGGUGUUUAAUAUAAAAUGCCCCCCUGAAUUAGAGGACUUUCUUCCUCCGUCACGUGACGAUUUCUCCUCCGUCCGACGGGGACGGAGGUCAUGAUGGGAAUAAAAGGUAACGCUGACAGAAAGUAAACUUCAGAAAGUCAUCGUCCGUCAGUCUGGGUGUCUGCUAAUGCCAGCGUGCGUAUGACAUCACGCGCCGUCGCCUAGAAGCGGCUUAUACUUCCGGUUAGUAAAAAAAAAAAAACCCCGCUAGUGAUAUACUUGAGUAACGAGUAAACCCCACCCCCCGUGCCGCGCAGACCGACACGGACAGCGAUGAUCCAGCGGGACGUGUCGAGAAUCCUCGGGGUUCGAUACCGCCCCUGUCGAAGUGUCCUUGAGGUGGCGUGAGAGGUUUUUGAUGAACUAAACCAGGCGUGUCAGAUUUUGGUCGGAGAUGAAACCCGCAGGAAGGUAGAUCUUACGGAAGAGCGUUGGUGGCCAAAUUGGGUUGGAUGCGCUAAAUUCCUAGACACGUAUCAAACUCCGAGGGAAAUGAAUGCGGGCAUUCAGGUCUCGAUGCUUUGUAGACAUGUUUCGAUUAGCUUUAUGGUUAAAAUGACUGGGUGACGCCCAGGACACAUGCCAGUCAUUCUUUUGUAAGGUGAACAAAGCUAGACAACUAUAUGUUCGUCAUAGGCAACUCCUCAAUAAGACGCGAUUGAUGUAGAGCUACAUAUGAUCGUUAAAGUGAUAUAAACUAGCGAGCUUAGUUAUAGCUUACGUGUUUACGCCGCCGUAUUUACUGUAUAUACAGUAGUCACAUGUCUCACUCAGAGGUUCUGAUUGGUCGAGCAGGCGGGACUCUCGUAUCGCUGUAUUGCAUUCCGGGUGUUGUACGUUUCGGGUGAAGACGGAGAAAGGUAAAAUAAUGUCGCUAAACCAUGGGCAGUGAGCGAUACUGUGCAACAGAUCGAUACAUACCACGACGAACGAUGUGUUCAUAUAAACGAUAGUUUUAUGUUGGAAUUCCCCUUUAAUCGUAGAACAGCAUGUCUGUGAACAGCAGUUAUAUCAACUAUUAAAGCCGCAGUGUUUUGGUUUCCGGUCUGCUGAUUCAUAAAGCGUUUGCCGGGAUGUUCGGCCUCUCCGGCUUUCCGUAGCGAACCCUAAUGCAGGACCUGAUUAAGAUCUCCGGCGUUUGUUGAUUUUAUCGAUUCCUAUAGCAGCGAGUCUAACCCGCAUCGUACAGCGCCUAUAUAAAGCUUGCUAAAGUGCUGUUAUUCCUGGAUAAUUGAUUUGAUUGUUAUUGAGUUGCUCACAGAGGAGCGUUUUUUAAAGGCAGUGUUUAAAGAUCUUUAAUCUUGGUUGAAGGAUACCAACCUGUAAUUUUAGCCAUAACAUUAAAACCACCGACAGCUGACGUGAAUAACUUUAUUAUUGUCUUUAAAUCGGCACCUGUCGAGUCGAGGGGGGGUUUUUUAUUAUCGGGUAACGGGUGAACGGUCAGUUCUGGAAGUUGACGUGUUGGAAGCAGGAAAAAUGGGCAAGUGUAAGGAUCUGAGAGACUUCGACAAGAACCAGAUUGUGAUGUCUAGACGUCUGGGUCAGAACGUCUACAAAACAGCAGGUGUUGUGGGGUGUUCCCGGUAUGCAGUGGUCAGAACCUACUAAAAGUGGUCCGAGGAAGGAGAACCGGAGAACCGGCGAAGGGUCACGGACGCCCAAGUCUCAGUGAUGCGUCCGGUCCGAUCCCACAGAAGAUCUACU
ensembl:lncRNA